GUGGGGAAUUUUGGACAAUGGGCGAAAGCCUGAUCCAGCAAUGCCGCGUGUGUGAAGAAGGCCUUCGGGUUGUAAAGCACUUUUGGCAGGGAAGAAACAGUGCGUGCUAAUACCAUGCGCGAAUGACGGUACCUGCAGAAUAAGCACCGGCUAACUACGUGCCAGCAGCCGCGGUAAUACGUAGGGUGCAAGCGUUAAUCGGAAUUACUGGGCGUAAAGCGUGCGCAGGCGGCUUUGUAAGACGGAUGUGAAAGCCCCGGGCUCAACCUGGGAAGUGCAUUCGUGACUGCAAGGCUAGAGUGUGUCAGAGGGAGGUGGAAUUCCGCGUGUAGCAGUGAAGUGCGUAGAGAUGCGGAGGAACACCGAUGGCGAAGGCAGCCUCCUGGGAUAACACUGACGCUCAGGCACGAGAGCGUGGGGAGCAAACAGGAUUAGGAACCCGGGUAGUCC
rnacentral:rRNA from 1 species